rnacentral:rRNA from 1 species
GACGAACGCUGGCGGCGUGCUUAACACAUGCAAGUCGAACGGAAAGGCCCUGCUUGCAGGGUACUCGAGUGGCGAACGGGCGAGUAACACGCGCGUGAUCUGCCCUGCACUUCGGGAUAAGCCUGGGCAACUGGGCCUAAUACCGGCCAGAAGCCAUUUUUAGCGUGAUGGUUGGAAAGUUUUUUCGGUGUAGGGUGAGCUCGCGGCCUAUCGGCUUGUUGGGGGGGUUAUGGCCUACCAAGGCGGCGGCGGGUAGCCGGCCUGAGGGGGUGGCCCGCCACAUUGGGACUGAGGGGAGGCCCAGGCUCCGACGGGAGGCAGAAGUGGGGAAGAUUGAACAAUGGGCGCAAGCCGGAUGCAGAGAGGCCUCGGGGGGGAUAACGGCCUUCGGGUUGUAAACUCCUUUCGUUAGGGACGAAGCUUUUUGUGACGGUACCUAGAUAAGAAGCACCGGCUAACUACGUG